rnacentral:rRNA from 1 species
UCCGUAGGUGAACCUGCGGAAGGAUCAUUAACAAAUUCUAAUCUCACCUUUGAAAAUUGGCAAGGUACAGCGCAAACCGCAAGGUUUGGGCUUGUCUUGGUGGCUAUAGGCCCUUUAUUGGGUACUGGCUCACACUUACGUUUAUUAGUUUGACAUGUCUUUAAAUUUAAUUUAAAUACAACUUUUAACAAUGGAUCUCUAGGCUCUUGCAUCGAUGAAGAACGCAGUUAAACGCGAUACGUAAUGUGAAUUGCGUAACUUUGUGAAUCAUCGAAUCUUUGAACGCAUUUUGCACCCUUUGGUAAUCCAUAGGGUAUGUCUGUUUGAGUAUCAUUUUCACCCUCUUUAGCCUGUUUUUGUUUAGGCAGAAACAGUGCCAAAGGACUUGAGGCAUAAGGCGCUUGCGUGUCUUUGCCUUUAAAAUGAUAAAGCCGCCGCUAGGAAACUUUUUCUGCGCUAAUGUGCGAUGAAAGACUCUGUCUUGCAUUCACAAAGGCACCGUCAAAGUGAACUCUUGGUGUGAGCUUCACCCCCCAAAAUCAUUGGCUUUGUGCCUUUGGGUAUUGAUCUCAAAUCAGACAAGACUACCCGCUGAACUUAAGCAUAUCAGUAAGCGGAGGAAAAGAAACUAACAAGGAUUCCCCUAGUAACGGCGAGUGAAGCGGGAACAGCUCAAAUUUAAAAUCUCAAAGGGAAACCUUUGCGAGUUGUAGUUUAAAGAAGCGUUUACGGCGACUCUGGCGGUCAAAGUUCCUUGGAAUAGGACAUCAUAGAGGGCGAGAAUCCCGUAUGACCGUUGGAAGUUCGCUUUGUGUUACGUUUUCAAAGAGUCGGGUUGUUUGGGAAUGCAGCCCUAAGCGGGAGGUAAAUUUCUUCCAAGGCUAAAUAAAGGCAAGAGACCGAUAGCGAACAAGUACCGUGAGGGAAAGAUGAAAAGAACUUUGAAAAGAGAGUUAAAAGUACGUGAAAUUGUUAAAAGGGAAACGCUUGAAGU